CGCCGGUACGCGCCCAUGCAAAGCUCCUUCGACGAGUCGAGUUGUUUGGGAAUGCAGCUCAAAGUGGGUGGUAAAUUUCAUCUAAAGCUAAAUAUUGGCCGGAGACCGAUAGCGCACAAGUAGAGUGAUCGAAAGGUUAAAAGCACCUUGAAAAGGGAGUUAAACAGCACGUGAAAUUGUUGAAAGGGAAGCGCUUGCGACCAGACUCGGACGCGGGGGUUCAGCGGUCAUUUUUGGCCGUGCACUCCGCCGCGCUCCGGGCCAGCAUCAGUUUCGACGGCUGGUCAAAGGCCCCCGGAAUGUGUCGUCCUCCGGGACGUCUUAUAGCCGGGGGUGCAAUGCAGCCAGUUGGGACUGAGGAA
rnacentral:rRNA from 2 species